GUAGUGGCAAGCGUUGUCCGGAUUUAUUGGGUUUAAAGGGUGCGUAGGCGGUUUCUAAGUCAGCAGUGAAAUACGGCAGCUCAACUGUCGAGGUGCUGUUGAUACUGGGGGAACUUGAGUACUGAUGAGGUAGGCGGAAUGGACGGUGUAGCGGUGAAAUGCUUAGAGAUCGUCCAGAACACCGAUAGCGAAGGCAGCUUACUAAGGAGUAACUGACGCUGAGGCACGAAAGUGUGGGGGAUCAAACAGGAUUAGAUACCCUGGUAGUCCACACUGUAAACGAUGAUUACUCGAUGUGUGCGAUACACGGCACGCGUCUUAGCAAAAGCGAUAAGUAAUCCACCUGGGGAGUACGCCGGCAACGGUG
rnacentral:rRNA from 1 species